GCCCCUGUGGUGUAGUGGUCAGCGCGCUCCGAUGACUGGCACUGUGAUGUACUCGCCCUUCGAGAGCCUUUGAACGCCCGCAGUUUCCUCAUAUCUUGCGAAGGUAGUGGAGAGAACGGGUACAUUACGGCGGUUAGGAGAGGUCCUCGGUUCGGAUCCGAGCAGAAGCG